AAAAGUGGAGGGUAAAAGUGCUGCGGUUUUGUAACGCAAGGAAAGGCUGAGCUGAAUUUCCACAAACUGCCAGGUGUUAAAACUACGUACCAACAGUUCUAGAUGGUCUUCACCAAAUCAUGGACAAAGCUACGGGAAUCAGAGAUGAAUAUUUUCAGGGGUCACGUUGCAUUUCCAUCCUAAAGGAUCUUGUCACGUGUUUGCAAAUGUUUUUAAUGUUUACCGACACUGGAAUAUUCUUCUUGAUGAUCUUUGAAGCCUGUGCAAAUAAUAGUGACCAUGUGCGAUGUUGAGCACAGCAAGCAGGGAAAACUCCUAUGGUCUCACGUGAGAAAACUGAAGGAUUUCUUUAAUUUCAUUAUUAAGUAACCCAGCAAUUAACAAUCGAUGUCAACAAAGUCCAAGAAACGUUUAAUAGCAAUUAACAGGGAGCUGCCAACAACAUCUCUAAGUGUGAACCUUUUAAUUGGGUUCAAUAUUAAAUUUAACAUUCAAAGUUUCCAUCCAAAUUAUUUUAGAGAAAUUACUUUCAA